rnacentral:rRNA from 1 species
UACGGGGGGGGCAAGCGUUGUUCGGAAUUACUGGGCGUAAAGGGCGCGUAGGCGGCCUUCUAAGUCAGACGUGAAAUCCCCCGGCUUAACCUGGGAACUGCGUCUGAUACUGGGAGGCUAGAGUAUGGGAGAGGGAUGUAGAAUUCCAGGUGUAGCGGUGAAAUGCGUAGAUAUCUGGAGGAAUACCGGUGGCGAAGGCGGCAUCCUGGACCAUUACUGACGCUGAGGCGCGAAAGCUAGGGGAGCAAACGGG